GCUUACGGCUAUACCACCUUGGGCAUGCCCGAUCUCGUCUGAUCUUGGAAGUUAAGCAGGGUCGGGCCUGGUUAGUA
rnacentral:rRNA from 10 species